rnacentral:rRNA from 1 species
UGCAGUCGAACGGUAACAGGCCGCAAGGUGCUGACAGAGUGGCGAACGGGUGAGUAAUGCAUCGGAACGUGCCCAGUCGUGGGGGAUAACUACUCGAAAGAGUAGCUAAUACCGCAUACGAUCUGUGGAUGAAAGCGGGGGACCGUAAGGCCUCGCGCGAUUGGAGCGGCCGAUGUCAGAUUAGGUAGUUGGUGGGGUAAAGGCUCACCAAGCCAACGAUCUGUAGCUGGUCUGAGAGGACGACCAGCCACACUGGGACUGAGACACGGCCCAGACUCCUACGGGAGGCAGCAGUGGGGAAUUUUGGACAAUGGGCGCAAGCCUGAUCCAGCAAUGCCGCGUGCAGGAAGAAGGCCUUCGGGUUGUAAACUGCUUUUGUACGGAACGAAACGGCUCUGGUUAAUACCCGGGGCUAAUGACGGUACCGUAAGAAUAAGCACCGGCUAACUACGUGCCAGCA